UACGUAGGGGGCAAGCGUUGUCCGGAAUCAUUGGGCGUAAAGAGCGUGUAGGCGGCCAGAUAAGUCCGCUGUGAAAACUCGAGGCUCAACCUCGAGACGUCGGCGGAAACCAUCUGGCUAGAGUCCGGAAGAGGAGAGUGGAAUUCCUGGUGUAGCGGUGAAAUGCGCAGAUAUCAGGAAGAACACCCGUGGCGAAGGCGGCUCUCUGGGACGGUACUGACGCUGAGACGCGAAAGCGUGGGGAGCGAACAGG
rnacentral:rRNA from 1 species